CCUACGGGCGGCAGCAGUGAGGAAUAUUGGUCAAUGGCCGGAAGCCUGAACCAGCCAAGCCGCGUGAAGGAUGAAGGAUCUCUGGUUUGUAAACUUCUUUUAUAGGGGAAUAAAGUUAUCCACGUGUGGAUAUUUGCAUGUACUCUAUGAAUAAGCAUCGGCUAACUCCGUGCCAGCAGCCGCGGUAAUACGGAGGAUGCGAGCGUUAUCCGGAUUUAUUGGGUUUAAAGGGUGCGUAGGUUGUUUUUUAAGUCAGCGGUGAAAGUGUGGGGCUCAACCAUAAAAUUGCCGUUGAAACUGGCAGACUUGAGUGUGUUUGAGGUAGGCGGAAUUCGUGGUGUAGCGGUGAAAUGCAUAGAUAGCACGAAGAACUCCGAUUGCGAAGGCAGCUUACUAAGCCAUAACUGACACUGAGGCACGAAAGCGUGGGGAGCAAACAGGAUUAGAUACCCGUGUAGUC
rnacentral:rRNA from 1 species